rnacentral:rRNA from 1 species
AUUGAACGCUGGCGGCAUGCCUAACACAUGCAAGUCGAACGAGACCUUCGGGUCUAGUGGCGCACGGGUGCGUAACGCGUGGGAAUCUGCCCUUGGGUUCGGGAUAACAGUUGGAAACGACUGCUAAUACCGGAUGAUGACUUCGGUCCAAAGAUUUAUCGCCCAAGGAUGAGCCCGCGUAAGAUUAGCUUGUUGGUGAGGUAAAGGCUCACCAAGGCGACGAUCUUUAGCUGGUCUGAGAGGAUGAUCAGCCACACUGGGACUGAGACACGGCCCAGACUCCUACGGGAGGCAGCAGUGGGGAAUAUUGGACAAUGGGCGAAAGCCUGAUCCAGCAAUGCCGCGUGAGUGAUGAAGGCCUUAGGGUUGUAAAGCUCUUUUACCCGGAAUGAUAAUGACAGUACCGGGAGAAUAAGCCCCGGCUAACUCCGUGCCAGCAGCCGCCGUAA